rnacentral:rRNA from 1 species
CCUACGGGUGGCAGCAGUGAGGAAUAUUGGUCAAUGGACGAGAGUCUGAACCAGCCAAGUAGCGUGAAGGAUGACUGCCCUAUGGGUUGUAAACUUCUUUUAUAUGGGAAUAAAAUGUUCCACGUGUGGGAUUUUGUAUGUACCAUAUGAAUAAGGAUCGGCUAACUCCGUGCCAGCAGCCGCGGUAAUACGGAGGAUCCGAGCGUUAUCCGGAUUUCUUGGGUUUAAAGGGAGAGUAGGUGGAUUAUUAAUGCAGUUGUGAAAGUUUGGGGGGCAACCGUAAAAUUGCAGUUGAAACUGGCAGUCUCGAGUACAGUAGAGGUGGGCGGAAUGCGUGGUGUAGCGGUGAAAUGCUUAGAUAUCACGAAGAACUCCGAUUGCGAAGGCAGCUCACUGGACUGCAACUGACACUGAGGCUCGAAAGUGUGGGUAUCAAACAGGAUUAGAUACCCUAGUAGUC